AGAGUGCGUAAUAGCUCACUAGUCGAGAGGUCCUGCGCCGAAAAUGUCCGGGGCUGAAACACGACACCGAAGCUUAGGAAUCGAAAGAUUGGUAGAGGAGCAUUGAAUACGGAACGAAGCAGUACCGGAAGGAGCUGUGGACUGUAUUGAAGAGAGAAUGCCGGAAUGAGUAGCGAGAUUUAAGUGAGAAUCUUAAAGGCCGAAUAUCUAAGGUUUCCAGGGUAAAGCUGAUCUUCCCUGGGUAAGUCGGGGCCUAAGGCGAGGACGAAAGUCGUAGUCGAUGGAUAACAGGUUGAAAUUCCUGUACCGCAUAUAUUCAGAAAUGUGGGGACACAGAUGGAAAGUACAACCCGGGAAUGGAUAGACCGGGGCAAGCGAGGUAGGAGAAUGGCAGGCAAAUCCACCAUUCAAUCUGAAGACGUGACGCGUACCGAACAAGAGUAGGGAAGUGUAUGAGCCAGCUGUCGAGAAAAGCCGCUAUUGUGAUAUAUGCGCCCGUACCGUAAACCGACACAGGUGGAUGAGGAGAGAAUCCUAAGGCCGGCGGGAGAAGCAUUGUUAAGGAACUCGGCAAAAUGACCCCGUAACUUCGGGAGAAGGGGUGCCUGCGAGAGCAGGCCGCAGAGAAUAGGCUCAAGCAACUGUUUAGCAAAAACACAGGUCUAUGCAAAACCGAAAGGUGAGGUAUAUGGGCUGACGCCUGCCCGGUGCUGGAAGGUUAAGAGGAGAGGUUAGCGCAAGCGAAGCUUUGAAUUUAAGCCCCAGUAAACGGCGGCCGUAACUAUAACGGUCCUAAGGUAGCGAAAUUCCUUGUCGGGUAAGUUCCGACCCGCACGAAAGGCGUAAUGAUUUGGGCACUGUCUCGACAAUGCACCCGGUGAAAUUGAAAUACCAGUGAAGAUGCUGGUUACCUGCGCCAGGACGGAAAGACCCCAUGGAGCUUUACUCUAGCUUGAUACUGGGGUUCGGUAUUGCAUGUACAGGAUAGGUGGGAGACUGAGAAGAUGUGUCGCCAGAUGCAUCAGAGUCGAUGUUGGGAUACCACCCCUGCAGUACUGGGCUUCUAACCUGCAGCCGUGACCCGGCUGGGGGACAAUGUCUGGUGGGGAGUUUGACUGGGGCGGUCGCCUCCGAAAGAGUAUCGGAGGCGCUCAAAGGUUCCCUCAGAAUGGUUGGAAACCAUUCGAAGAGUGCAAAGGCAGAAGGGAGCUUGACUGCGACACCGACGG
rnacentral:rRNA from 1 species